AUUGAACGCUGGCGGCAGGCCUAACACAUGCAAGUCGAGCGGGGUUUUCGGACCUAGCGGCGGACGGGUGAGUAAUGCGUAGGAAGCUGCCCGAUAGAGGGGGAUACCAGUUGGAAACGACUGUUAAUACCGCAUAAUGUCUACGGACCAAAGUGUGGGACCUUCGGGCCACAUGCUAUCGGAUGCGCCUACGUGGGAUUAGCUAGUUGGUGAGGUAAUGGCUCACCAAGGCGACGAUCCCUAGCUGGUUUGAGAGGAUGAUCAGCCAGACUGGAACUGAUACACGAUCCAGACUCCUACGGGAGGCAGCAGUGGGGAAUAUGGGACAGUGAGCGCAAGCCUGAUCCAGCCAUGCCGCGUGUGUGAAGAAGGCCUUCGGGUUGUAAAGCACUUUCAGUAGGGAGGAAGCGUUGUGUGUUAAUAGUACGCAGCGUUGACGUUACCUACAGAAGAAGCACCGGCUAACUCUGUGCCAGCAGCCGCCGCAGUAA
rnacentral:rRNA from 1 species